rnacentral:tRNA from 2 species
GGGGAUAUAGCUCAGCUGGGAGAGCGCCUGCUUUGCAAGCAGGAGGUCGUCGGUUCAAAUCCGUCUAUCUCCACCA